UUGUCACGACAGCAAAGUUGUGGUCUCCGUGCAUUUAACCUCUCCCACACUCUAAAAUCCAGACAUUUCUCCCCUACCUCGCACCGCCCUAUUUCUUUUCGUCUGCUUCUGCCUCUUUCUCGGUCUUUGUAUCCUCUGUGGGAGCUUGUGUUUAAGGUUUUAGAAUUUUAGCCCGUAAUCAAGUUUAGCUUCUCGCGGUUGUUUCCAUGGCGGCAGGCCUAUCCGCCGCCAUAACCCCUAAACCUUUUCGUUCAUUUCUAUCCUCACACCUCGAGCCGAAGCCAACUCCACUUUUUCAUCCUUUACUUCGCCUCCAGAAAACACUAUAUGGAGCUCGAAGGAAGAGAAGCUUUGCUGUUUGUUUUGUGCUGGAGGAACAGAAACAAAGUGCUCCCCAGAUCGUAAAUCUUGCAGAAGAAGGAUCCGAGGAUGCUAGAGAUUCUCAGAUCUUAAUACAAGCACGUCUGGCGGAGAAGUUAGCUAGGAAGAGAUCAGAAAGAUUUACUUACCUAGUUGCUGCUGUCAUGUCUAGUUUUGGGAUCACGUCCAUGGCUGUUAUGGCUGUUUAUUAUAGGUUUUCUUGGCAAAUGGAGGGUGGAGAGGUACCUCUUUCUGAAAUGUUUGGUACAUUUGCUUUAUCGGUUGGUGCUGCGGUAGGCAUGGAGUUUUGGGCUAGAUGGGCUCACAGAGCGCUUUGGCACGCUUCUUUGUGGCAUAUGCACGAGUCUCACCAUCGACCUAGAGAAGGUCCGUUCGAGCUAAACGAUGUGUUCGCCAUUAUCAACGCGGUCCCAGCUAUUGCUCUCCUUUCUUAUGGUUUCUUCAACAAAGGCCUCGUUCCUGGUCUAUGUUUUGGUGCUGUAAGUCUUCUCCUGUCUGUUUUUGGGGCUUGGAAUUACGGUGUUCGGAAUGGCCUACAUGUUCGUCCACGAUGGUCUUGUCCAUAAGAGAUUCCCCGUGGGGCCCAUUGCCAACGUGCCCUACUUCAGGAAGAUUGCUGCGGCCCACCAGCUCCAUCAUUCAGACAAAUUCAAUGGUGUCCCAUAUGGGCUGUUUCUAGGGCCUAAGGAGGUUGAGGAAGUGGGAGGUCUAGAGGAGUUGGAGAAAGAGAUCAAUAGGAGAAUCAAAUCAAGCAUGGGUUCGUGAUAAUUCAGCUGUUUAAAGGGACCCAUUUGUGAACAAUUGCCAGUAUAUAGAUACAAUACUGUCAUUAUCGUAAAUGGAAAAUGAUUUUUAGUUAAUCACUGUUGUUUUCCUAUUAGGCGAAAGACAUGGAUUGGUUUUUCUCUUUGAAGAAAACAUGGGUCAAAGGAGCAGAAUUAGAGACAAUGACUUGGGAACGGAAAGCCCUCAAUCUCAAUUUACCAAUAUUGUUUAAGAGUUCAGAAUGAAAGAAAUAUACAGUGUAUGGAUUAUGGUUUUUCCACUGAAAAUGAACUCAAGCGUCGCUUGAGAAUAGGUGUCUAGUGACUUGUAAAAAUCUCAUACUUACAAAAGAGAAAUACAAGAAAUUGUUUGUUAAUGGUAA